rnacentral:hammerhead_ribozyme from 1 species
GCACUGCUGACGAGUCCCAAACAGGAGGAAGUAGCUGUCCAGUGC